UACAGAGGUCUCAAGCGUUGUUCGGAUUCACUGGGCGUAAAGGGUGCGUAGGCGGAUUGUUAAGUCAGGGGUGAAAUCCCGGAGCUCAACUCCGGAACUGCCUUUGAUACUAUUGGUCUUGAAUGUUGUUGAGGUGGGCGGAACGGGUCAUGUAGCGGUGAAAUGCAUAGAUAUGACCCGGAACACCGAUUGCGAAGGCAGCCCGCUAAGCAACUAUUGACGCUGAGGCACGAAAGCGUGGGGGAUCAAACAGG
rnacentral:rRNA from 1 species